CGCGGCUUCGCUGAGGGGGCGUGGCUUCGUUUAGCGCUGUGGGCUCAGUGGGGGGCGUGGCUUCGCUUAGCACUGUGCUCUCCGUGAGGGGCGUGGUUUCGCUGAGGGGCCGCGGCCUAAACUGGGCCAAAGUUCGGGGCCGCGGGUUCGAGUCCCGGCUCGGGCGGCGGCCAUGGCGCGGCGAGCCGUGAUUUUCGACCUCGGCGUUCUGCUCAAGCCGGGCCUGGAGCACUUCCUGAGCGCCUGCGAGCGCGACUGGGCCCUGCCCAGAGGUUUCCUGGCGGCCGUUCUGGAUUCCGGGGGGUCCCAGAGCCCCAAAUCCCGAGCGCUGCGGGGCCACAUCGGCCUCACCCAGGUGGGCCGGGAUCCAUUCCGGGCUUGGGAUCCACUCCGGGAUCUGGGAUCCACCCUGGGGAUUGGGAUCAACUCGGGGAUUCGGGAUCCACUUUGGUAUUUGGGAUCCAUUCCAGGGUUUGGGACCCAUUCCGGGGCUUGGGAUCCACUCCGGGAUCUGGGAUCCAUCCCAUUGAUUAUGAUCCGUUCCAGGAUCUGGGAUCCACUCCGGGAUCUGGGAGCCAUCCCGGGGAUUGGGAUCCAUGCGGGGAUUUGGGGUCCACAUUUGGGAUUUGGGAUCCACUCCAGGGUUUGGGAUCCAUUCCGGGGCUUGGGACCCACCCUGGGAUCUGGGAUCCACCUUGGGGCUUGAGAUCCACUCGGGGAUUCGGGAUCCAUUCCAGGGCUUGGGAUCAACCCUGGGAUCGGGAUCCACCCUGGGGGUUGGGAUCCACUUUGGGAUUUGGAAUGCAUCCCAGGAUUUGGGAUUGACCUUGAGGAUUUUGGAUACCCCCCCUGGGAUUUGGGAUCAACCCUGGGAUUGGGAUCCACCCAGGGGGUGUGUGUGUGUGUGGUGUGGGAUCCACUCUGGGACUGGGAUCCACUCCAGGGUUUGGGAACAACCCUGGGAAAUUUUGGGAUCAAUCUUUGGGAUUUGGGAUCCACUCCAGGAUUCGGGAGCGAUCCCGAAAUUCCUGGGAUUUGGGAUCCACACGGGGGCUUGGGAUCGACCCCAGGG
rnacentral:lncRNA from 1 species